GCAGUUUUCCACUGUCUUGGAUCUGCACAAAACACGCCUGCGCUGCUGUCGGGAAGGAGAGCUGCCCUGGGUUGCUUUGCUACCUUCGUCUUUUAAAGUCUGCUUUGAAGUAACGGCGUUUGUCGUCUUUGCAGCUGUGACUGGGAGUCCACGAUUACUGUGCUUCUCAGCCCGGUGCCCAGGAACGCUGCUCCUCCCCCAUUGGAGACGAGACUCAUUCAGCAUCUGGAUGUGGGCUAAAACUACCUGCAGGCUGAGGAUGGAAGGAGCGUAUUGCGCAGGUUGAUUUUGGCUGGCGAACUCAGACCACACACUGGCCUUAUGGAGCGCCGCUGACUUAGCUUCAGGGCGCUCUGAGGAGCUGUGGGCUUCUGUGGAUAAAGUCUGGAAAGGAAAGCUGAUUGCACUUUGCCCUGGCAUGGCGUCUACUCACCGAGUGCCCAUAAUCAUUCAGAGAUUCCUGCUUCACUGCAAAAGCAGCCUUGGUCUACCAGUGGAAAGGCAAACCUCAUCUAAAGACACCUUCACAGAUGCAUCCCUGAAAAUGUUUGCUUGAAAAUCUGGAUGCUUAUGAUCUAGUUUGUGAAAUUUGGUCAUCAUGGAACUUUUAAUUGGAAGAGCAAGGAGUCAGUUACUAAAUGGGUGUCCCCUGGAUUUGUACUGUCCAGAGCUCUGAGGUUUGACAAUCUGUGGCAAAUUGAUUUGACAGAUGUGUAUCGAUGGCAGUUUCUCAGUGAGUACUGUGCUAAAUUAAUUAAUCACUGGGCAAUUUAAUCUAAUUGAAUGCUCCUGCUGCACACAGAAAAGUUCUCUUUAUAAUUCUUGAAUUGUCGCUGUUUAAAUUAAGUCAAUUAAAAUGCUCUGUUCCUAA